rnacentral:ncRNA from 3 species
CUGAACUUAAGCAUAUCAAUAAGCG